CCUACGGGAGGCAGCAGUGGGGAAUAUUGGACAAUGGGCGCAAGCCUGAUCCAGCAAUACCGCGUGGGUGAUGAAGGUCUUCGGAUUGUAAAGCCCUUUUAGUAGAGAAGAUAAUGACGGUAUCUACAGAAAAAGCACCGGCAAACUUCGUGCCAGCAGCCGCGGUAAUACGAAGGGUGCUAGCGUUGUUCGGAAUCACUGGGCGUAAAGGGUACGUAGGCGGUUUGGUAAGUCGAUUGUGAAAGCCCCAGGCUCAACCUGGGAACUGCAAUCGAAACUACUUUACUUGAGUUUGGUAGGGGAUGGUGGAAUUCCUAGUGUAGGGGUGAAAUCCGUAGAGAUUAGGAAGAACACCAGUGGCGAAGGCGACCAUCUAUGCCAAUACUGACGCUGAGGUACGAAAGCGUGGGGAGCAAACAGGAUUAGAUACCCUGGUAGUCCACGCCCUAAACGAUGAAUGCUAGUUGUCGGGGCCUUAGGCUUCGGCGGCGAAGUUAACACGAUAAGCAUUCCGCCUGGGGAGUACGGUCGCAAGACUAAAACUCAAAGGAAUUGACGCUGAGAGNGCGAAGACGACACGAGGGAGAG
rnacentral:rRNA from 1 species